rfam:Schistosoma curassoni strain Dakar, Senegal genome assembly, scaffold: SCTD_scaffold0001079
AUCCAGCUGACGAGUCCCAAAUAGGACGAAACAUGCGUCCUUAAU